GGAGAGGUGCCGGAGUGGUCGAACGGGCCGGUUUCGAAAGCCGUUGUGCCUUUACGGGUACCCAGGGUUCGAAUCCCUGUCUCUCCGCCA
rnacentral:tRNA from 1 species